UACGUAGGGGGCGAGCGUUGUCCGGAUUUAUUGGGCGUAAAGAGCUCGUAGGCGGUUCGGUAAGUUGGGUGUGAAACCUCCAGGCUCAACCUGGAGACGCCACCCGAUACUGCUGUGACUAGAGUCCGGUAGGGGAGCGUGGAAUUCCUGGUGUAGCGGUGAAAUGCGCAGAUAUCAGGAGGAACACCAGCGGCGAAGGCGGCGCUCUGGGCCGGAACUGACGCUGAUGCGCGAAAGCUAGGGGAGCAAACAGG
rnacentral:rRNA from 1 species